rnacentral:rRNA from 1 species
AGUGAACGCUGGCGGUAGGCCUAACACAUGCAAGUCGAACGGCAGCACAGGAGAGCUUGCUCUCUGGGUGGCGAGUGGCGGACGGGUGAGGAAUACAUCGGAAUCUACUUUUUCGUGGGGGAUAACGUAGGGAAACUUACGCUAAUACCGCAUACGACCUACGGGUGAAAGCAGGGGACCUUCGGGCCUCGCGCGAUUGAAUGAGCCGAUGUCGGAUUAGCUAGUUGGCGGGGUAAAGGCCCACCAAGGCGACGAUCCGUAGCUGGUCUGAAAGGGUGAUCAGCCACACUGGAACGGAGACACGGUCCAGACUCCUACGGGAGGCAGCAGUGGGGAAUAUUGGACAAUGGGCGCAAGCCUGAUCCAGCCAUACCGCGUGGGUGAAGAAGGCCUUCGGGUUGUAAAGCCCUUUUGUUGGGAAAGAAAUCCAGCUGGCUAAUACCCGGUUGGGAUGACGGUACCCAAAGAAUAAGCACCGGCUAACUUCGUGCCAGCAGCCGCCGUAA